rnacentral:rRNA from 1 species
ACGUACGCUGGCGGCACGCCUAACACAUGCAAGUCGAACGAAGUAGCAAUACUUAGUGGCAGACGGGGUGAGUAACAUGUGGGUAUCUACCCUUUGGCCUGGAAUAACACGAGGAAACUUGUGCUAAUACCGGAUAAGUCUUUACGGAGAAAGCUUUAUGCACCAUUGGAUGAGCCUGCACUUGAUUAGUUUGUUGGUGGGGUAAUGGCCUACCAAGUCUACGAUCUAUAGCUGGUUUGAGAGGAUGAUCAGCAACACUGGGACUGAGACACGGCCCAAACUCCUACGGGAGCAGCAGUGGGGAAUCUUGC